AGAAAACCUCUCUACAAAAUAACAAAAAAAUGGCAAAUCAACCUCCCCCAUCUCGUCCAUGGUUCCGUUUGCCUUCACUUGUCCGCCCAGCCCCUGAACCUGCUGCAACUUCAACACCUGAGCCAGCUCCUCCCCAGCCUCGUCCGCCUCUCGCUCGACCUGCAUUUAGGCCAGUUGCUCAGCCUGCCCCUACAGCAACUCAACCUCAAGGACCCACUCCUGCCAUACCACCGCCUGCCGUUGCUUCCGUACCAGGUGGAGGUGUGGCAUCGGUACCAACAUCCCCAGCUCCGAGGCCGUCUGCCCCUUCCGCUUCAUUGCCCACUUCUCCGGCUCCAACCACCACAGUGGUUGCUCCAGUCACUACCUCUGCUUCAUUGCCAUCAUCUCCAAGACCCAGAGUUUCAGCUCCUACCUCCUCGCUCCCAUCUUCUCCCUCCCCUAAACCAGCUCCAUCUUCUUCUGUCCCAACGUCUCCAGCUUCUAAGCCAGUACCAACUCCUCCUGCCCCUAAAACAGCACCAAUCACCUCUUCGGUGCCAACUGCCAUGACCACCACUACGGCUCGUGUUCCUAUCCCUGAACCAUCUCCAAGAACCAUCAAGCCUUCGGUUCAAAGCCCACCUCAAUCACCUACGCCUAAGCCCACUGCUCCACCACCUUCUCCUCUGAUCCUACCACCUGCCAAGAUAAGAGCUGAUGCAGGAAGUGAAGAUAAGGUGGUGGAGCAGUGGGCUUAGGCGUAGACAGUGCUAGUUCAAAAAACCAUUGAUAAGCCUAAGCCCUGGCUCAAUGGCGGCGAUUCAGGGAGAAAUCUUGUAGAUGCUGUCAAGACCAGCAUUUCACAACAUGGGAAGCAAGAACCGUCAAAAGACGGAGAAACAAAGGAAAAAGGCCAGCGAAAGAAGAUUUCUGAACAUGGGGGCAUGAGGGUAAUCACAAUUGCUGGAGAAAACAAAGGCGCCUUCAUGGAAGCAAUCCGCUCUCCUAGUAAGAAACACGUGUUCGAGGGCAAUCAGU
rnacentral:misc_RNA from 1 species